rnacentral:pre_miRNA from 1 species
GCAGCAGUGGAUAGACACUGGCUGACGACGACGACGCACGUGCUCCUACUCUCGUAAUCAGCCAGCGUGCAUCCACUGCGGG